rnacentral:rRNA from 1 species
UUUUUUCAUGCAUCAAAGCUCGUUAAGACUAGAUGGUGUAUCCCUACAUAGCGGGUGGGAACCACGGCGAAUGGUUCAUCAAGUCUUCAAAAAAGAAUAUAUACGAUUGCAUUGCAUAUACUAACGGAUGCGAUCAUACCAGCACUAAUGCACCGGAUCCCAUCAGAACUCCGCAGUCAAGCGUGCUUGGGCGAGAGUAGUACUAGGAUGGGUGACCUCCCGGGAAGUCCUCGUGUUGCAUCCCUCUUUUAUGUUUAACC